GAAAGUAAGCAAGAGCGAAUGGUGGAUGCCUUGGCUCUCGGAGGCGAAGAAGGACGUGAUAAGCUGCGAUAAGCUUGGGGUAGGUGCAAAUAACCAUUAAUCCCAAGAUUUCCGAAUGGGGCAACCCUCCCGAUUGAAGGUCGGGAAUCCCUUGAAUUAGGGAAGCGAACGUGGGGAACUGAAACAUCUCAUUACCCAUAGGAGAAGAAAACAAAAGUGAUUGCGCAAGUAGUGGCGAGCGAACGUGCAGGAGCCCAAACCAAUUAUGUUUAGGCAUAGUUGGGGUUGUAGGACUACGAUAUGGACUAUAUAAUUGAAGUGGAAUUAUCUGGAAAGUUAAUCCAUAGAGGGUGAAAGGCCCGUACAUGUAAGAUUAUGUUACCUAGUAGUAUCCUGAGUAGCGCGGGACACGAGAAAUCCUGUGUGAAUUUGCCGGGACCAUCCGGUAAGGCUAAAUACUCCCGAGAGACCGAUAGUGAACAAGUACCGUGAGGGAAAGGUGAAAAGUACUUCGAAUAGAAGAGUGAAAUAGAACCUGAAACCGUUCGCUUACAAGCGGUUGGAGUCCCGAUUUAUCGGGAUGACAGCGUGCCUUUUGCAUAAUGAACCUACGAGUUACUUUUAUUGGCAAGGUUAAGCACUUCAGGUGCGCAGCCGAAGCGAAAGCGAGUCUUAACAGGGCGUAUAGUCAGUAGGAGUAGACGCGAAACCAAGUGAUCUACCCUUGAGCAGGUUGAAGUUUCGGUAACACGAAAUGGAGGACCGAACCGGUUGACGUUGAAAAGUCUUCGGAUGACUUGAGGGUAGGGGUGAAAGGCUAAUCAAACUUGGAGAUAGCUCGUACUCCCCGAAAUGCAUUUAGGUGCAGCGUUGAGACAGUUUAUAAGAGGUAGAGCGACUGAUUGGAUGCGAGGGCUUCACCGCCUAUCAAGUCCUGAUAAACUCCGAAUGCUUAUAAAUGAUUCUCAGCAGUGAGGGCGCGGGUGCUAAGGUCCACGUCCGAGAGGAGAAGAAUCCAGAUCAUCAGCUAAGGUCCCCAAAUAUAUACUAAGUUGCAUUAACGAAGUCGAACUGCACAGACAGCUAGGAUGUUGGCUUGGAAGCAGCCAUUCAUUUAAAGAGUGCGUAACAGCUCACUAGUCGAGCGGUUUGGCGUGGAUAAUAAACGGGCAUAAGUAUAUUACCGAAGCUAUGAAAUCCCGAUUUUAAUUGGGAUUGGUAGGGGAGCAUUCUUGUACAGCGUAGAAGGUGUGUGGUGAUGCAUGCUGGAGCGGCAAGAAAAGCAAAUGUAGGUAUAAGUAACGAUAAUGGGGGUGAGAAACCUCCACGCCGAAAGACUAAGGGUUCCUGAUCAACGCUAAUCGGAUCAGGGUUAGUCGGGGCCUAAGGAUAAGCCGAUAGGCGAUUCCGAUGGAAGAAACGGUUAAUAUUCCGUUACUACCUUAUAGAGUGAAGUGGGGACGGAGUAGUGAAAGUCCUGCGUGGUUACGGAUUACCACGUUAAAGGGUGUAGAAGUUGAGACUGGUAGGCAAAUCCGCCGGUUGAUUCGAACCUGAUAGUAUCAUGAUCCCUUGUGGAGAGUGAAUAUGGAUGUAAACAGACUUCCAAGAAAAACCGCUAAACAUUAAUUUAUAAGGUACUCGUACUAUAAACCGACACAGGUGGUUGGGUAUAGUGUACUAAGGCGCUCGAGUGAUUCACAGCUAAGGAACUAGGCAAAAUAGUCCUGUAACUUCGGGAAAAAGGACGCCUCCCCCGCCUCGGCGGGGAGGCCGCAGAGAAAUGGCCCAGGCGACUGUUUAACAAAAACAUAGGGCUUUGCAAAAUCGAAAGAUGAAGUAUAAGGCCUGACACCUGCCCGGUGCUGGAAGGUUAAGAGGAGAGGUUAUCCGCUUCGGUGGAGAAGCUUUGAAUUGAAGCCCCAGUAAACGGCGGCCGUAACUAUAACGGUCCUAAGGUAGCGAAAUUCCUUGUCGGGUAAGUUCCGACCUGCACGAAUGGUGUAACGAUCUGGGCACUGUCUCAGCUGUGAGCUCGGUGAAAUUGUAGUAUCGGUGAAGAUGCCGAUUACCCGCAACGGGACGGAAAGACCCCGUGAACCUUUACUGCAACUUUACAUUGAAUUUGGGUACUUGAUGUGUAGGAUAGGCCGGAGACUAUGAAGUGGGCGCGCCAGCGUUUGUGGAGUCAACCUUGAAAUACGGCCCUUUAAUUAUUUGAAUUCUAACCCCGAUAUUUCGGGAGACAUUGUAUGGUGGGUAGUUUGACUGGGGUGGUCGCCUCCAAAAGUGUAACGGAGGCUUCCAAAGGUACCCUCAGGCCGAUUGGUAACCGGUCGUAGAGUGUAAUGGCACAAGGGUGCUUGACUGAGAGACUAACAAGUCGAACAGGUAGGAAACUAGGGCAUAGUGAUCCGGUGGUUCCGUAUGGAAGGGCCAUCGCUCAAAGGAUAAAAGGUACUCCGGGGAUAACAGGCUGAUCAUUCCCAAGAGCUCAUAUCGACGGAAUGGUUUGGCACCUCGAUGUCGGCUCGUCACAUCCUGGGGCUGGAGAAGGUCCCAAGGGUUGGGCUGUUCGCCCAUUAAAGUGGCACGCGAGCUGGGUUCAGAACGUCGUGAGACAGUUCGGUCCCUAUCUGUUGUGGGCGCAGGAAAUUUGAGGAGAUCUGACACUAGUACGAGAGGACCGUGUUGGACGAACCGCUGGUUCAUCGGUUGUUCCGCCAGGGGCAUUGCCGAGUAGCUACGUUCGGAUAUGGAUAAGUGCUGAAAGCAUCUAAGCACGAAGCCGACUUCAAGAUUAGAUUUCCAUGAGGGAGGUUAAAGACUAUGACCUUGAUAGGCUGCAGGUGUAAAGGUAGAAAUAUCAAAGCCGAGCAGUACUAAUAUCCCGAAACUUUUUUUA
rnacentral:rRNA from 1 species